rnacentral:rRNA from 1 species
CCUUUCAGUGAGGAAUACCGGCGAGAAAUCGCCGACAAGACCGCAUACGGUUCCCCCGGUCAACGGGGAAGGAAAGCUUGUGCUCGCGAGAGCAGAGGCGCUGGAAGAUGGGCCUGUGGCCGAUUAGCUAGUUGGUGAGGUAACGGCCCACCAAGGCGACGAUCGGUAGCUGGUCUGAGAGGAUGAUCAGCCACACUGGGACUGAGACACGGCCCAG